CAUCGGCUGACAAAGGACCUGUGGUUUCAACUGACUGCCUUACUCCCUGCACCCCCUCUCAAGGAAACAAAUAUUACCCUAACCUUCACUGUACUGCUACCGCUAUACUAUCUGUCAACAUACCAUCGGCUGACAAAGGACCUGUGGUUUCAACUGACUGCCUUUACUCCCUGCACCCCCUCUCAAGGAAACAAAUAUUACCCUAACCUUCACUGUACUGCUACCGCUAUACUAUCUGUCAACAUACCAUCGGCUGACAAAGGACCUGUGGUUUCAACUGACUGCCUUUACUCCCUGCACCCCCUCUCAAGGAAACAAAUAUGUAUGUUAAU